GGCAUAUCUAGCUUACCUCAGAGUGACGGACUUGCAGGACCAGCCACCGGGACUGAUACUCUUAUGACUCCUGGCAUCCCCCGGAUACCUGAGGAUGAUGGACCUACAGGACCAGCCGUUGUGCCUGAUGCCACUACAGUUUCUGGGACUGAUAGUUUGCCUGAGAGAGGUGUUUCCCCGCCACAUCCGAGAGGUAUGACUGAUUUGCCUACAGGGGUUGAUAUACCCUCCAUGACUACUCCUGCAGUUAUUUCG